CUCCAGUAAAAAUACAAAAGUUAGCUGGGCGUGGUGGCACACACCUGUAAUCCCAGCUACUUGGGAGGCUGAAGUGGGAGAAUUGCUGAAACCCAGGAGGUGGAGGCCGCAAUGAGCUGAGAUCAUGCCACUGCAUUCUAGCCUGGGAGACAGAGACUCUGUCUUGAAGAAAGCAAAUUUAUACGUCUGAUUUAGCAGCUAUCCUACAUCAGACAGG
rnacentral:lncRNA from 1 species